UUGUUUUGACAUUCUUUACCUUGAGUUGGGAUGAGCUUAAUUGUAUAUGAUGAAAAGGUUCAAGUUUGGGGUUGUAUGGGGGAAAAUUGAAAGGCAAGUGAAAAGCAUUGAGCUCAAAUGUUGUGAAAAGAAAAAUUCAUGAGAAAAAGAAAAGAAAAGAAUAAAAGCAUGAAAGUGAGCUCAAUGUAAAAGAAAAGGGAAAAGGUUGGGAAUAAGUGAGAUUGGUGAGAAAGAGAGUUGUGAUUAAUUGUUAAAUAUUAUGAAAGCUCUCUUAACUCAAGGAUUUUGUUUUCCAGAAAAACCAAUUUUUCUUGUUAAGCCCAACCUCAUUACAAGCCUUGGAAAAGUCCUUUUGAUGACAUUUGCAUGUAAAGAUGUUGAUUGUUUGAGAUGAAUGAAAAUUUUGUUUUAUGUGACUUGUGAACAAUGGAGAGUUGGAGUGUCACCUUAAACACUUGAGUGAUUGAGUGAAACACUUGCUUGGUAUGAACUGUUAAUUUUCA
rnacentral:lncRNA from 1 species